AUUGAACGCUGGCGGCAGGCCUAACACAUGCAAGUCGAACGAGUGGCGGACGGGUGAAUAAUGUCUGGGAAACUGCCUGAUGGAGGGGGAUAACUACUGGAAACGGUAGCUAAUACCGCAUACCAUCGGAUGUGCCCAGAUGGGAUUAGCUAGUAGGUGGGGUAAAGGCUCACCUAGGCGACGCUCCCUAGCUGGUCUGAGAGGAUGACCACCCACACUUGAACGGGAGAAGGGUGCAGAAUCCUAUGGGAGGCAGCAGUGGGGAAUAUUGUACAAUGGGGGCAAGCCUGAUGCAGCCAUGCAGGGGGUAUAAAGAAUGCCUUCGGGGUGUAAAUUUCUUUCAGCGGAGAGUCGUUACCCGCAGAAUAAGCACCGGCUAACUCCGUGCCAGCAGCCGCGUUAAUAC
rnacentral:rRNA from 1 species